GUUAGAAAAUAAGGGGGGAAAAAAGUACUAAAGCGCAAUAAACCCAGCCCAUCCAUGGCUUCCUUUCUUACGUUUUUCUCCUUCGUCUUUGUCAUUCCUUUUGGAAAAUUAAAAAGAAAUAAUAAAAAGAGAAGCCAUUGUUGACGUUUGUUAAAGCUUGAAGCAGCAAUGGACCGACACCAUAACGAACCCAAUCACGAGGAUGAACCUAACAACGCUAAAUUCACUCGACCUCUCUCUGGAGAUGGAGCUAGCACUGGAAAGAUUUUCAUUGGAGGUUUAGCAAGAGAGAGACUACUACUGCACAAUUCAUCAAGCAUUUUGGUGAAUAUGGUGAAAUUACAGAUUCUGUGAUAAUGAACGACCGGAAAACAGGGCAGCCUCGUGGAUUUGGCUUUGUGACCUAUUCAGAUCCGUCUGCUGUUGAUCAAGUCGUUCAAGAUACUCAUAUUAUCAAUGGCAAACAAGUUGAAAUCAAGCGAACAAUACCAAAGGGAGCUGCUGGGUCUAAGGAUUUUAAAACCAAGAAGAUAAUUAUGAGUUCAAGAAAUUGUUUACUUUCGGAGAGGUUACAGAACAUCAGAUCAUGCGGGACCACUCCACCAAUUGUUCUCGUGGGUUCGGGAUUUAUCACAUUUGAUACGGAGAAGGCAGUUGAUGAUCUCUUGGCCAAGGGAUUUAAACUUGAGCUGGCUGGAAUUCAGUUUAUUUCAGGUUCUCAAACGUUAUUCUUGAAGAAAGGAUGCAACCAUUAAGAGUUGAGGGAGAGGACUUCGAAGGGGGCAUUUGUGGUUGCGUUUUACUUGUUCAGUUCGAACUUCAGUCAGGAAAACCAGCAGAAGACACGUGGGAUCAUUAUUUCUUACCAUUAAUUGAUGCACCUGUGUGCAUUUGAAUUUACUCAAUGGAAAGUUAGAAAGCCUUCUGCAUCCAUGUGCACAUAGGAUGUAAUAUUUAGAACAUCAUCUAGAACUCUUCUGUAGAUAGAUCCAAUGGCUUCUUAUAGUCCAGAAGUUUUUGGGCCUCACGAUAUGCAAUGAUGAAGAUUUGGAAGCCUCGGUCAAGGUAGGAGCCAUCAACAACAUCAGUCCAAACUCGGCAGCCAACAGCAUCUGAAGCCUCGAGCAGGAGGAAAGGGAUGUUUUUGGGAGUUGAGCCUGGUUGCGGCAGCUAGGCCUGCAAGGCCUGCUCGGGUAACAAUAACUCGAAUUUUUUUGGUCGUGUCGAUGCAUUGGGCUAUCAGUCUGAAAAGGAGGUGUUUUUUAAGGAUGAGUAAGGGAGAGAAGGGGCAAGAGUGAGUGUACUGAUUGAAUGAGUAAGGGCUUUACUUAUUAAACCCGGACCGGCCUAGCGGGUCGACCCGGGACCGGGUCGACUUGGUGGCUAGACCGGUUCGGGUUUAUCAAAAGAUCGGCCUAUGCAAUGACCUAGCCAAACCCGGUCGACCUGGUGGGUCGACCCAUGACCCGGGCAAACUCGGGCGAGACCCGGGUGACUCUCCAUGGUAGAUUUGAGAUCUUAUCUCUGUCUGGAUCUUUCUUGCCGCCUCCAGCCCCUCCAAGCACGACGAGCCUCACAAUCUUCCUUACUAGGGGACAAGGCCAGACGAUUUGAGAUCUAACUUCAAAAGACUUGAGAAAGGCUUCUCGAAGGACCACAAAAAAGCACUCAUAACCCUUUGUGAAGGCAUAUAUAUGAGAUUGUAGAGAUAUGGCUUGGAGCUCACUGUUCCUGCAUCCAAGCCCAUAACUGAGUAAGAAAGUGAUUGAAGAAAGAAAAGGCAAGCAAUAUCAUGGCCAACCUGAAACAGCAAAUCCAACCACAAAAAAUGGAUUACGCGUUGGCAAGAAAAAGAAGUAGCGGUUGCGAGUAGUGAAGUAUGGAGGAUAAAGAUGAAAAAUGAAUCAAGAAUAAUAGGAGCAGAAAUAAACAUGAAGGACAAUAGCGCAAGCAUCCGAGAAAGCACGCUGCCUUUGGAUGGGUAUGAUCAAUUGCUGAUGAGAGGCUGCCUUUGGAUGAGGACGACCAAUUGCUAAUGCAGAGUGGUGAAGGGGGUGGAGGUUGUGCUGGUGAUGGGAUUGGGGUUAGGAAUAAUGGUCUUUCUAAUGAAAUGGGAGCGGAUUCCAAGGGCUGUUUUUUUCUUUAUUUUUUAAAUGUGGGUAUUUUUUUAUAUUUUUUUAGUUGGUUAUUAUUUUUUUAAAAGUUUAUUAUAUAAAUAUUAGAAAAAUAUUUUAUUUACAA